UACGUAGGGUGCAAGCGUUAAUCGGAAGUUACUGGGACGUAAAGCGUGCGCAGGCGGUUAUGUAAGACAGACGUGAAUCCCUCGGACGUCAACCGGGGACUGCUCUGAUACGUGGAGGGCUUGAGUUUGGGAGAGGGAUGCGGAAUUCCAGGUGUAGCGGUGAAAUGCGUAGAUAUCUGGAGGAACACCGGUGGCGAAGGCGGCAUCCUGGACCAAUAUUGACGCUGAGGAGCGAAAGCCAGGGGAGCAAACGGG
rnacentral:rRNA from 1 species